rnacentral:lncRNA from 1 species
GGAGAGGGGAGGAUUGGAGAGAGGGGCGCGCGUCCCAGCGCGCGCGCGCAGCCGGUGUCUGGCGGUGAUGGAUGGCUGACUGUAGCCUGCCAGGAGCCUGGAGGCUUGUCUGGGAACCGACGCCCGGGCAGGACGCGCCAACCAGGAGCCGAAGGUGGCAGGUCAGAUGGCUGGCGGCCUUGCCGAGGCCCCUGCCAAUCCCCAGCCGCUAGGUGGAUGUGUUGUCUCCUACCAAUCCAAAUGUGGUCAGUAAGGAGGAGAAACAAAACAGAAGGUUCUCCUUGCCCAUCUGCCCUGGGGAGAAGAGCACAACGUCAGCUCUUUGAGGCCAAGUGCUAUUGCUCCAGCGGGGCUAGCUAACCCCUCAGCAGGGAUUGUUUGAUUUGUUUGGUCCCCGUGACCUUUCUUUCUGGAUGGAUGCUGAAAUUUGGGGUUACCAAAGAAAAGUCCCAGAAACAGCAGAACGUUAGAGCCAAGAGACUCUAGGAACCAUCUCGUUGAGUUGUCUCACGUUCCGGUCGGAGGAGAGGGAGAACGACUUCUCCAAAGGCACACGCAACAAUGGGCAGAGCCAGGCCACUGGUGCCCGUCUCCAGGUCCAGGCGUGUGGCCACACUGCCCUCCUGCACCCUGGCCCUUAACACUCUGGCAGCCCUCUCCUCCCGCUCCUUCGGCAAAACCCCGUCCAACCUCUUUCCCUUCCAAACAGAAGCAAGCACAUUUCAACAGGGAUGAUGAAAUGUCAGGGUUGAAACAUUUAUUACUCAGACAACGUAUUUCAUAGCAUACAGCAUUUCAGAACUGUCU